rnacentral:tRNA from 1 species
UCUAAUAUGGCAGAGUAGUGCAUUGGACUUAAGCCCCAAAUAUAAAGCCCGAGCUUUUUUUAGAA